rnacentral:rRNA from 1 species
CCUACGGGUGGCUGCAGUGGGGAAUAUUGGACAAUGGGCGAAAGCCUGAUCCAGCCAUGCCGCGUGUGUGAAGAAGGCCUUCGGGUUGUAAAGCACUUUCAGUGGGGAAGAAAGCCUUGGGGCUAAUACCCUCGAGGAAGGACAUCACCCACAGAAGAAGCACCGGCUAACUCCGUGCCAGCAGCCGCGGUAAUACGGAGGGUGCGAGCGUUAAUCGGAAUUACUGGGCGUAAAGCGCGCGUAGGCGGUCUGAUAAGCCGGUUGUGAAAGCCCCGGGCUCAACCUGGGAACGGCAUCCGGAACUGUGCGGAUAGAGUGCAGGAGAGGAGGGUAGAAUUCCAGGUGUAGCGGUGAAAUGCGGAGAGAUCGGGAGGAAUACCAGUGGCGAAGGCGGCCCUCUGGACUGACACUGACGCUGAGGUGCGAAAGCGUGGAUAGCAAACAGGAUUAGAUACCCCAGUAGUG